GCCGGGAUGGUCUACCCUAAUCAGUUAAGGCGUCGCCCCGGACAGGCGAAGGUUGCGGGUUCAAUCCCCGCUCCUGGCC
rnacentral:tRNA from 1 species